GACGUAGGGCGCGAGCGUUGUCCGGAUUUAUUGGGCGUAAAGAGCUCGUAGGCGGCUUGUCGCGUCGUCCGUGAAAAACCCAUGGCUCAACUGUGGGCUUGCGGUCGAUACGGGCAGGCUGGAGUUGGUAGGGGGAGACUGGAAUUCCUGGUGUAGCGGCGAAAUGCGCAGAUAUCAGGAGGGAAACACCCGGUGGGCGAAAAGGGCGGGGGUCUCUGGGGGCCAU
rnacentral:rRNA from 1 species